rnacentral:rRNA from 1 species
GAUGAACGCUGGCGGCAUGCCUAAGACAUGCAAGUCGAACGAGGUGGCCCACUGAUUCAAAAUGAACUUUGAGUGCUUGCACAAUGACGGAUUUUUGAUGAUGUGGAUCUUCCACCUAGUGGCAGACGGGUGAGUAACACGUGGGUGACCUACCUUUAAGUUGGGGAUAACAGUUGGAAACGAUUGCUAAUACCGAAUAAGAUAUAGUUGUCGCGAUUAUAUUGAAAGGAGCCUCUAAAGCUUCGCUUAGAAAUGGGCCUGCGUUGUAUUAACUAGUUGGUGAGGUAAUGGCUCACCAAGGUGACGAUGCAUAGCCGGACUGAGAGGUUGAACGGCCACACUGGGACUGAGAUACGGCCCAGACUCCUACGGGAGGCAGCAGUGGGGAAUAUUGGGCAAUGGGGGAAACCCUGACCCAGCAACGCCGCGUGAAGGAAGAAGGC